UACGUAAGGGGCAAGCGUUGUCCGGAAUCACUGGGCGUAAAGCGCACGUAGGCGGUUUAGCAAGUCAGGGGUGCAAGCUCUAGGCUUAACCUAGAAAUUGCCUCUGAAACUACUUCACUUGAGUAUUAGAGGGGAGGCUGGAAUUCCUGGUGUAGCGGUGAAAUGCGCAGAUAUCAGGAGGAACACCUGUGGCGAAAGCGGCGCACUGGACCAUAACUGACGCUGAGGCGCGAAAGCUAGGGGAGCAAACAGG
rnacentral:rRNA from 1 species